CAAGCCCUUUGGGAAGGAAGUAGCCGGGACAAUGACUUUGUCCCAGUUCCAGACACUACAUGAAAAAGACCAGGAAACUGCUUCUCUCAGGGAACUAGGGCUCAAUGAAACAGAAAUAUUGAUCUGGAAAAGCCAUGUUUCAGGUGAAAAGAGGACAAAGCUGAGGGCAACUCCCGAAGCAAUACAGAAACGGCUUGAAGAUAUUAAAGAAAGGAUCUCGGAGCGCCAGCGCAUCCUCUGCCUGCCACAGAGGUUUUCAAAGAGCAAACAGCUGACCCGAAGAGAGAUGGAAAUUGAAAAGUCUUUAUUUCAGGGAACUGAUCGUCACUCCUUCCUUAAGGCUCUUUAUUACCAAGUGAGACCUCCAAGGAAGGAGAUGCCAAGUAGUGCUUCAAAGCUUCAGACCACAAUCAAACACAGCAUCCUUUUCAACAGAAGCAGAAGCUCAUCUGAAUAUGCUCAAGGAUGCUGACAUCAACAUUUAAUCAUCUCCUCACUCAUCCAGGAAGAAGGGGAGAUCAGUUACUACUGUACUUUAUUGUGUUCAAACAAAUCACUAUGUUACAAAAAUAGCAAGCUGCCAUAAUAAAAAAUAAGGCUCCUCUAUCCAGC
rnacentral:lncRNA from 1 species